rnacentral:tRNA from 1 species
AGUAAAGUAAGCUAAUAUUAAGCUGUUGGGUUCAUACCUCAAAAAUGGAAUCAAGAUAUUCCCUUUAUUA